UCAAAUGUGGGCCCUUGGCAAGAGCAAAUGUUCCCAACCAUUGGGGUCAUCUAUCCACCCCUUCAUCAUCAUCAUCGUCAUCAUCGUCAUCAUCAUCAUUUCUGUUGCUUACGUGUAUACCUGCGUGAGUGCCAGAGCAGUCCAGAGGAAGGUGUCAGUCCCCUAGAGCUGAAGUUAAAGCGGUUGUGAGUCAUCUGACAUGGGUGCUAAGAACUGAACUUGGGUCCUCUCCAGCCCCCACAUGUACCUAUGCGAUGGGCUUCCUUCUCUCGGCCGCUUGGCAUAUGCCAGGACUGGAACUGCUGGCUCAUCCGGUAACUAUGCUUUCCGAGGAAUUGUCAGUGUUUCCUAACCGAAAGAAAAUGCGUUCCCAUCAUAUGAAAAAAAAAAACCGUAGCUGAAGCCUCGUGCAGUCUAACAUUCCCAUUGAACAACACUGGAGCCUCUGUUUCACAGCCCAGAGACACCUCAGAAGAAAAGCCUGUGUUUGGAUAACAAGCUAUCUCUCUCUCUCUCUGUCUGGUGAACCAGAGUGGCUCUGUGCUUGUGGAGUAGUUCCCCAGGCAUACAAGUGCACAGGCCCAUUCGUUUUCCUUAUUCUCCCUGUCCCAGGACCCAGUUCCAGGGGUGCUGUUUCCUUAACAAGGGUCUGGCCAGGGUGAUGAACUUGCUUCAGCAGACCACCUUACACAGUUCCCUGAACUUUUCCCAGCUGUGCAGCCAUUCUGCUUGUGUAAGAAGCCAACCUGUGUUGUAGAUGUCUCAACCCCCUUCAUGGUCCUAGGGAUCGUCUUUCUGGAAAGAUGAUCAAUAUUACUCAGUGUUACUACUGCAGUUCUAUUUUUUUUAACACUGGAUUUCAGGGGCCAUCAUCUUUUCGAUACUGGCACCUCAUGAUAUUGUGUCACCUCAGCCCAACCCCACCUCCACACUGACCAACCAAGACCAUGAGGUGUUGACCCUGUCCCCAGGACCAGCAGGCUAUAAUAUCUUGGAUGUCAGGCCAGACCUCCCCCAUUCAGCCACAGAAACUAUAUAUCUGUCUUUAUUUUCUUUCAGCCUUACUGAACUGUGACUGACAUUGAAAAUUGCAUAUUUUUAAGGUGUGCAAUGCAAUGUUUUGGUAUAUAUUAUAAAACAAUUGCCACAAUCAAGCUCAUUUGCCUUCCUAUCAUUUCUCAUACUUGCCAAUUUCUGGUUGGGAUGAGAAAAUGGAGGGUCUAUUCCUUGGCAAAUCCCACUCACACAGUCCGUCUUACUAACUGGAGUCACCUGCUGUGCCUUUGCCUUUCAGAGCUGACUCUCCUGGGAAUUAUCCGACCCAGUCUCGCUGAUUCCACUUAGUGUGCAGUUAGUGAGUCCCACUUCACUAAGGUUGAAUAAUAAUAAACAAAAUAUUAAGAAUAAUAAAAUUCC